GACGUAGGGCGCGAGCGUUGUCCGGAUUUACUGGGCGUAAAGAGCGCGCAGGCGGUCGGAUAAGUCGAAUGUGAAAGCCCCUGGCUCAACCAGGGAGGGUCAUUCGAUACUGUUCGACUCGAAGGCAGGAGAGGGAAGUGGAAUUCCGGGUGUAGUGGUGAAAUGCGUAGAUAUCCGGAGGAACACCAGUGGCGAAGGCGACUUUCUGGCCUGUUCUUGACGCUGAGGCGCGAAAGCUAGGGGAGCAAACGGGG
rnacentral:rRNA from 1 species